rnacentral:lncRNA from 1 species
CCCCAGUGCAAGACUCCAAGUCUCACUUCCACUCCACCGAGCACGAACAGCCAAAAGGCCUCCACGAUGCUGAGUCCUGUAGUCCAACGAUGGCUCCGGAGGCAAGACCCAGGGCCUUACUUCCGAAAGCCGUGAACAGCAGAAAGGGCCUCCAUGAUGCUGGGACCUAUAGUUCAGCGAGGCUCCGGGAGCUCGACGGAGAAUGAGAAACCCAGGAAGGAACACACCAGGCUAGAUGAAAAUGAUGAGGACGAGCAGGUCCUGUGGGAAGAUGAGAAGACUUUCCGGAGUGAGAGGCGAAGGACGUGUUCCAAGCAGAGGGAGCUCAGCAGGCCAGAAGACAGCCAGAGAAGAGCCAAGGCCAGAGGGAGUCAGGAUGGAUGACCCAGUGAAGGCCAAGAUAAUUUUUUACUCUUUGCGGAAACCACCAUGGCUGAGCACCUUGAAGACCCCUCUUCCUCUCCUACCCAUACUCCAACCCUCAAGCUCCACCUCCCCUUGCCUCCUGUAUUGUAGCGGCUUCCCACAGACACCUGUGCUUGCCUUGGACACAAGUGCUUUGGAGCAGAGCACCCGGAAAGUGAACUUCUUUAGUAUUAGCAUUUAUUGCUAGAUGUGAACACGUGCUUUACAGUGCUGGAAGACUCUUCCCACAGGGGGCCUGUGUGCCUCCCACAACAUCCGAGAAAAAUCCCACGUGGACAUGCUGAAGAAAAACGGUGUCUGUGCUCUUGGUGCUGCCCUUGUCUUCCUAUAUCCCGUAAUGUCCCUUACAAGGCAGCACACUCCUGAGCAAGGUAGAGGUUGGCAGGACUCUUGUACUUGUAAAUGUUUUGCUGGUCUAAAGGUGAGUUUAUGAGGAUGUUUAUGAGGAUGAUCUCACAAGACAGCGAAACACAGACUCAGCUUGUCUCCUGAGUGAGACCGAGCUGCAAUGACUGGGGUUUAGGCCAAAGAGCUCUCGGGUGGGUGCAGAGUCACUGUUUGUAGCCAACACGGUGGGAAGAGUUGUUAGGAGAAUGCCCAGGGGUGCUUCUGUCUGGAGAGCACCCAAGCCAAUCAAAAUUUACAGCCCUGGGGCAAGGGAGCCAAAGCACUCCACUUGGUGAUCUCCACAAGUUCUUCUUCUGAGGGGACUGCUCAGCAAAGAGAAAUCAAGACCCACCUUUCACAGAGCAGGAGAGUGAGGAAAUAAAAUGCAAAGGAGCAAAUGACAGUGUAUAGUACACCAGACACGUGUAAAAUAGGGUCAGAGUACCUGCCCUGAAGGUUGCUUAAUAAGUAAAUAUUUCCUUUUUAAAAGUUUUAUGUUCAUAAAACAAAAGUAGCACCUAAGCAAUCCUUUAUUAUAUGACACACUGCAUACUGAUCUCUCUCUCUCUCUCUGUUUUAUAGGUUGUGUCAUCUUUGUGGUCACAGGAUACAUAUUACUUGAUAUGUUCAGUUUGCAGUCAUUUACAGCGUUUUGUUUUUCUCUUUUUCGUACUAGAAUUUAGGAAAGAUUUUUGUGUGCAGCAAUGCUAUUGGAUUCAGAGUAAAUACAAAAAAAAAAAGAAUAAAAACUGUUUUGGAAAUGAAGUAUACAUUUGUGUAUGCUGGAGAGAGGAAGACCAAAGGUACAAGGAA